rnacentral:rRNA from 1 species
ACUUGGUGUUACUGCGAAGGGGGGACGGAGAAGGCUAUGUUGGCCGGGCGACGGUUGUCCCGGUUUAAGCGUGUAGGCUGGUUUUCCAGGCAAAUCCGGAAAAUCAAGGCUGAGGCGUGAUGACGAGGCACUACGGUGCUGAAGCAACAAAUGCCCUGCUUCCAGGAAAAGCCUCUAAGCAUCAGGUAACAUCAAAUCGUACCCCAAACCGACACAGGUGGUCAGGUAGAGAAUACCAAGGCGCUUGAGAGAACUCGGGUGAAGGAACUAGGCAAAAUGGUGCCGUAACUUCGGGAGAAGGCACGCUGACACGUAGGUGAAGUGAUUUACUCAUGGAGCUGAAGUCAGUCGAAGAUACCAGCUGGCUGCAACUGUUUAUUAAAAACACAGCACUGUGCAAACACGAAAGUGGACGUAUACGGUGUGACGCCUGCCCGGUGCCGGAAGGUUAAUUGAUGGGGUCAGCGCAAGCGAAGCUCCUGAUCGAAGCCCCGGUAAACGGCGGCCGUAACUAUAACGGUCCUAAGGUAGCGAAAUUCCUUGUCGGGUAAGUUCCGACCUGCACGAAUGGCGUAAUGAUGGCCAGGCUGUCUCCACCCGAGACUCAGUGAAAUUGAACUCGCUGUGAAGAUGCAGUGUACCCGCGGCAAGACGGAAAGACCCCGUGAACCUUUACUAUAGCUUGACACUGAACAUUGAGCCUUGAUGUGUAGGAUAGGUGGGAGGCUUUGAAGUGUGGACGCCAGUCUGCAUGGAGCCGACCUUGAAAUACCACCCUUUAAUGUUUGAUGUUCUAACGUGGACCCGUUACCCGGGUUGCGGACAGUGUCUGGUGGGUAGUUUGACUGGGGCGGUCUCCUCCUAAAGAGUAACGGAGGAGCACGAAGGUUGGCUAAUCCUGGUCGGACAUCAGGAGGUUAGUGCAAUGGCAUAAGCCAGCUUGACUGCGAGCGUGACGGCGCGAGCAGGUGCGAAAGCAGGUCAUAGUGAUCCGGUGGUUCUGAAUGGAAGGGCCAUCGCUCAACGGAUAAAAGGUACUCCGGGGAUAACAGGCUGAUACCGCCCAAGAGUUCAUAUCGACGGCGGUGUUUGGCACCUCGAUGUCGGCUCAUCACAUCCUGGGGCUGAAGUAGGUCCCAAGGGUAUGGCUGUUCGCCAUUUAAAGUGGUACGCGAGCUGGGUUUAGAACGUCGUGAGACAGUUCGGUCCCUAUCUGCCGUGGGCGCUGGAGAACUGAGGGGGGCUGCUCCUAGUACGAGAGGACCGGAGUGGACGCAUCACUGGUGUUCGGGUUGUCAUGCCAAUGGCACUGCCCGGUAGCUAAAUGCGGAAGAGAUAAGUGCUGAAAGCAUCUAAGCACGAAACUUGCCCCGA